AACGAACGCUGGCGGCAGGCUUAACACAUGCAAGUCGAACGGGCCCUUCGGGGUCAGUGGCGGACGGGUGAGUAACGCGUGGGAACGUGCCCUUCAGUUUGGAAUAACCCAGGGAAACUUGGGCUAAUACCGGAUACGCCCUUCGGGGGAAAGAUUUAUCGCUGAAGGAUCGGCCCGCGUCUGAUUAGCUGGUUGGUGAGGUAAUGGCUCACCAAGGCGACGAUCAGUAGCUGGUCUGAGAGGAUGAUCAGCCACAUUGGGACUGAGACACGGCCCAAACUCCUACGGGAGGCAGCAGUGGGGAAUAUUGGACAAUGGGCGCAAGCCUGAUCCAGCCAUGCCGCGUGAGUGAUGACGGCCUUAGGGUUGUAAAGCUCUUUCGCACGCGACGAUAAUGACGGUAGCGUGAGAAGAAGCCCCGGCUAACUUCGUGCCAGCCGCCGCCGUAAAAC
rnacentral:rRNA from 1 species